CAGAGNAAACCCCUAAAAGCCAUCCCAGUUCGGAUUGCAGGCUGCAACCCGCCUGUAUGAAGUUGGAAUCGCUAGUAAUCGCGGAUCAGCAUGCCGCGGUGAAUACGUUCCCGGGCCUUGUACACACCGCCCGUCACACCAUGAGAGUCGGGAACACCCGAAGUCCGUAGCCUAACCGCAAGGAGGGCGCGGCCGAAGGUGGGUUCGAUAAUUGGGGUGAAGUCGUAACAAGGUAGC
rnacentral:rRNA from 1 species